rnacentral:rRNA from 1 species
UAUUGGUCAAUGGGCUUACGCCUGAACCAGCCAAGUCGCGUGAGGGAAGACUGCCCUAUGGGUUGUAAACCUCUUUUGUCAGGGAGCAAUUGGCGCUACGUGUAGCGUUAUCGAGAGUACCUGAAGAAAAAGCAUCGGCUAACUCCGUGCCAGCAGCCGCGGUAAUACGGAGGAUGCGAGCGUUAUCCGGAUUUAUUGGGUUUAAAGGGUGCGUAGGCGGAAUGCCAAGUCGGCGGUAAAAUCGCGGGGCUCAACCUCGCUCCGCCGUUGAAACUGGCGUUCUUGAGUGGGCGAGAAGUAUGCGGAAUGCGUGGUGUAGCGGUGAAGUGCAUAGUUAUCGCGCAGAACUCCGAUUGCGAAGGCAGCGUACCGGCGCCGGCCUGACGCUGAGGCACGAAAGCGUGGGUAUCG